UAUACAAAUAAGAUAUUCGUUUAAUUUUUUUUUAUUAUUUUAUUGAAAAAAUACAAAAUAAUUUUCCGACGACGGCGGCAGUUAAAGUCAUAUUUUUACAUAUUUUCGUAAAUACUUUUUUAAAGCUAUUACUCGUAUCUGUAUCUGAUUAUUAAAAACAGCGACAUGAAAAGUGUCUUUAUUCAAUGUCAUAGUUAUUAUUCUGUUUACUAAAUUAUUGUUUAUGUACCUAUAUACAUUUUGUGGUCUUCCCGCGAUGCCUGCCUAGUGCAUUAUUAUUAUUAUAAUUUAUAAGGCAUGUAAUUAAUUUCGACUUCAUCGUCAUCAUUAUUGCAUUAAUUUCACCAUUAUAAUAUCAUGCUUGAACCCUUGUUCUAUUAGUACAACGAUAGUGUCAUAAUAAUAACUAAUUCAGAACAAUGACGCGUGCGCGUUGUUCUAAAAGAAUUCUGUAAACAAUUAAAAAAAAAAAUAUGUAUUCAAAUAAAAAAUUAAAUUACAGGUGGUUAUACCUAUUUGAUACUUCGCUAUAUGUACAUGUACGUAUAAUGCGUAUUUAUUAUACCACUAGAUAUUAUAGAUAGUGUAGAUAGUUAACAUAUUAAACAUAAUUCGUGUAAUACAUGACGAAAAUGUUAAGGUCUGAUUAUCUUUUAUUAGGUGUGUAUAUGGUAGUUUUGAAAUCGUGGUGCAUAUUGUGUAUAUUAUAAUAUAGUGUAUAUUCCUGUGCUAAUAAUUAUGGUAUUAGGUAUUUAGGUUCGAGAAUUAUGAGAAAAAAAAUUAAUUAUAUUGUAAUUACUUUAACUAUAUUUUUCGGUGCAUUUUUAAUUUCUUAUAUACCUUAUAUGUCUUUGUCAUCGUGGAUAAAUUUUAGUUAGAAUUUUAACCGGAAGAUAAGCAGAAAGAUAAAUUAUCAUUAAACGCUUAUAAAUACGUAUUGCUAUAUCUAUACAACCAUAUUUAUCAAUUGCAUUUUAACCCGCUAUACCAUUCACCGCGAUACAUGUGGAACUUAGAUUAAACAGUGAUGAAUCAAUAAAUUAUCAUAAUAUUUAAUAUGUUAUUAAAAAAUAAAAGAAAUAAAUUUCAGUUUAUAUGAAAAAGUUUUUUAUUUAUAUUAAUAUUUUUGUAUAAAAGACAAAUCGUUAGUCAAAAACUGUGAUUUUUCUAGUAUCUAAAUAAACAGUAAAAUGCAAUUUUUUUAUGUGAGAACUGCCAGUCAAACAUGUUUUAAUUACCACGGUGAAAAAUUGAAAUAUGACGUGAAAGAACAAAUAAAUAGAUACUACACAUUUUACGACCAUCGUAAGCAAAGGGUUAAAAUAUCUAUCGUGAUCUUAUUUAAAAGUUGUUGAAAUUGCUCAAUAUGGUUUUCGAAAAAAAUUGCAUUGAACACAAAUUAUUCAUGAUUUGAACUGAUUUUGAUAUUGUAUGCACUUAACAACUAUGUGGGCGGAGACAAAAAAAAACUUUGUAAAAGUAACUUUUAACAUGAUAUUUAUAAGCACAAAUAAAACGGGUAUCAGGUAUGGGUGCUCCUUAAUGAGAACAUCGACUCAACUCUGUAUAGAAAGUCUAUACUGUAGGUGAAGUGCAAUGCGGUAUUUGACAUAAUAAUAUAAUAUACAUUUUAAUGCCGUCGCGUUUCUGAAAGCACUAAAUAUCUAUGGAAAUAUAUUAUGUUUGACCAAUGGCGUUUUGUAAUACUAUAAUAAUAUAUUCGGUCGUUGUAUUUUUGUAAUUUUUAUUAUCAUCGCAGUUUUAUUAUUAUCAUAUAAUAUUUUAUCGAUGACUGAUGAGUUUAGGUAUACCUAAUAGAAAGUGAUGGUCGAUGAACUCUGGGAAUAUUUCUUGAGAAAUCUAGUUAUUCAAAUUCUUUUUACGAGUAAUUUACUACGAUUUUAAGACGAUAUAGGUGCAAUAUAAUAAUAUGCGCGCGUGCAGUGCAGUGUUUAAGUCUUCGGCGCGAAUAAAUCCUAAUUAAUCGCGGUUUAGGCGUUUCCCACAACACAUACACGCGCGCGUGCAUAUUUGAUAUUAUGUAGGUAUACCGCAUAAUAUAUUAUAUCGUGUUGGCUACCGUAUGUAACGCUUUGGAUUUCGUUAACGACGUAUUAUUAUUAUAAUAAUAUAUUGGUACAUUAAUUUUAUUUUUUUAUUUUAACCUCUCGAGCCGAUCGGCUGCCGAACGGGCGCCUGUCUGAACGUUGUCGUAUACAUAUACGCAUCGGAAAAACAGCCUUAUAUUGACGUCGUGCACACAGGAGUGGCCGGAAGUCGUGAGGGCAGACGCACAUGCAAACGCUUUGUAUAUAUUGGACGAAGAUGAAAUUUUUAUCAUACAUAAAAUAAGACGUGACAUAAACGGCGCACCUAAUAUCCUCGUGGUGUUAUAAAAACAAAAUCCGAUUUAUGAGGAACCGUCCGCGGAGACCACGCGGGAAGCGAGAGCAGAGAGCGGCCAAAUAUUAUUGUUAUUAUUAUUUUUUGGACUGUACUGUGUAUAUUGCAUAAUCAUAUACGAAGAUGCGACCAUCGAGUAAUUUUCAGAGAACAUUCCUAAUUAGGAAGUAUAUGUUUACAUCUUCUUCUCUUUAUUAGAAGCGAAAACAAUUUAAAAAUCCCAAAACAAUCCAUUUCUUAUGAUGUAUUCAUAUUAUACGUAUAUUACAUAAUUAUUAUUAUUUAUGACAAAUAUUUUAAAUGGAGUAGUAUAACCAUAAGUUUGAAUAAUCGAGCAACAACAAUAUCAAAGAAAUCAUAUAGGUCAAAAUAAUGGAUUUCAAAAUUAAUGCCCGCGAGAUGAAAAUAAUGAAAUAGGCCAAAAGAACUAAACGCUGGGAACAGUUGAUUAAUACAAACUAAAUGUAUGUUUUAAAAAAAAUAAUAUUUAAAAUUAUCUGCGAAUUGAGUAUAAAAUCAAAACUAGACAUAUUUCGAAUUUUUUAAGAACUAUAAUCUUGUAAUAUUAUCCAUCUACCAACUGUAUACAUAUGGAGAUAAGUUAUAAAUCAAAAUUAUAAUAUUUAAUUAUUAACUAAUGGAUUAUUCCAUGUAUAACACACAAUACAAAACUAUUAGUAAUUUAACUACAUUCAAAAUGAAAAAUGUCAACAUUUAAUACAUUUCUAUUGAUGCUUUAUUGUUUACCGUACACACUUUGACUUUGUGUAAAUGAGCUGACUCAAAAACAUAUUGUGCAUUUUCGAAUGAAGAAUAUUUAAGGGCAUUACUGUAUCUAUAUCGUAAAACUUGACGAUGUGACGUCGUUGCCUGAAAUGCUGAUAAUCUAGUGACUUAUUGAAAUAGAGAUUUUGGGGAUAAAAGGUAAAAAAUCACAAAUUAUACAUUUCUUAAACGGUUCGCAUUAUCAAAGUUUAUACGAAAAACUCGAUAAUAUGCACAUUGUAAUAAUUAUCAUAUUAUAAUAAUUCACUGUUGCCGGAAUCGUUUUGUAUUUUUGUCGACACGGAAAAUUCGCCAGGGUGUUUGUGUAAACUCGCGCUUAUAAAACACGUACCAAACACUGUAAUCGUACACGUCGCCGCCGAGCACUAUGGUAUUAUGCGUCUUCCCAAGAAUUAUUAACGUAAGAAUGCACUAUUGUCACAAAAAAUUUAAAAAAAAAAAAAAUAUAACAAUAUACAUAAUACGAUUAAAAUAUUGUCAACUCAGUUUUCAUUGAAUUCGCCGAUGGCUCUCAAUGAAUGCGUUUGGAUUGUGUUGUCGAUUUUUUCCCAACAAUACUUAUUUUUUUAAACUAUUUGUCGUUCGUUUUUUGUAUAUUGUAUUUUUUAAGCAUAUUGUGUUUUAUUAUAUUGUUAUUAUAUUUGUCAAACGAAUUAGACGGUUAUUUAAAUCAACAAUAAUUCAGGGGGGAGGUGCUAUGUAAAACACGAUUAAAUGGAAUUAAAAUUAAACAAAUAAGUGGUUAGAAAAAAAUGAUAGUUUGUCGUUGGUGUGAAAAUCAAAAAUAUGUCUACACGCGAGUUAUAUUUAUAUUAUGUAUACGUAUUUCAUUUAAGAUCUCAGAUUAUUAUGCUAAUAAAAAUAAUAAUUAUUAUUAACGACCUAAAAAAAUGUGCAUAUGGACUAUGACUGUUGUCGAGACCGUUUAUAUAAGAACACGCGUCAGAUUGUUUAUAGAUUCUAUGGAAUUUAAUAUUCCAGCAUCAAAUAUAUCAUAUACAUCAUAUAUACCAUAAAGUGAACAUCCGAUUUUAUAGAUUAUUAAAUUAAAUUAUCUCACACAAAUUCUUUUGUAUAGUGUUCCAUACCAGAUGAUAAAAAUAUAUUUUGAUAGUGGACCAUCAAGGCCAAUGGUGGUUAUUUUGAAGACGUAUAUUGUAAUAUUAAGUACAUAUAAUUUAUAAUAGUAUGAUAAUGUUACGUAUAAUCACACAUACUAACUCGAAUAUCACUAAAUUCCUUAUAAUUUAGUCAACAGUUCUGUUACGACAUCAAAACCAUCUACAUAAACGUAUUAUUAUUAAUUAUUUGUUCACCACAAUAAUGCUAUAUAUUUAUAUAAUAUAUAUAUAUGUAUUAUAAUAUUAUUAUAUGACUAGAAUUAUAAUGUUUGUACGAGAUUGGAGUUAGCCGGUGGCAGGUACAUAAU